rnacentral:SRP_RNA from 1 species
CCGUGCUAAACGGGGAGGUAGCGGUGCCCUGUAACCCGCAAUCCGCUAUAGCGGGGUUGAAGCCUACCUGAGGCCGGGUCUUCUUAGGGUCCGGCCGUCGCGGGCGGCGUUGAAGGCUGGGUCCUGCGCAAUGAGAACUCGUGAACCCCGUCAGGUCCGGGAGGAAGCAGCGGUAAGCGAACCUUCUCAUGUGCCGCAGGGUAUCCUGGCUGGAGCAAGCCACGGCGGUAACGCCUGGGUCGACCGGUCGGGGGUAGGUGCACGG